rnacentral:rRNA from 1 species
CCUACGGGAGUCAGCAGUGGGGAAUAUUGCUCAAUGGGCGAAAGCCUGACGCAGCGACGCCGCGUGAGGGAUGAAGGUCUUCGGAUCGUAAACCUCUGUUAGCAGGGAAGUACGGUCACUCUGCUAAUCAGCAUUGACUUGACGGUACCUGCAAGGGAAGCACCGGCUAACGCCGUGCCAGCAGCCGCGGUAAUACGGAGGGUGCGAGCGUUAAUCUGUAGUACUGGGCUUAAGGCGUUCGUUGGGGGUAUGUCAAUUCAAGUGUGAAAUCGCCGGGCUAAACGUGGGAACUGACUUUGAAACUGGCAAACUGGAGUGUGGGAGAGGAAAGUGGAAUUCCAGGUGUAGGAGUGAAAUCCGUAGAUAUCAGGAGGAACAUCAGUGGCGAAGGCGACUAUCUGGCACAUAACUGACGCUGAGGAGCGAAAGCGUGGGUAGCAAACAGGAUUAGAUACCCUAGUAGUC